rnacentral:rRNA from 1 species
UACGAAGGGGGCUAGCGUUGUUCGGAAUUACUGGGCGUAAAGCGCACGUAGGCGGAUUGUUAAGUCAGAGGUGAAAUCCCGGAGCUCAACUUCGGAACUGCCUUUGAUACUGGCAAUCUCGAGUCCGGAAGAGGUUAGUGGAAUUCCCAGUGUAGAGGUGAAAUUCGUAGAUAUCCGGAGGAACACCGGUGGCGAAGGCGGGUCUCUGGGCCGAUACUGACGCUGAGGAGCGAAAGCGUGGGGAGCAAACAGG